UAACGCGUGGGGAACCGUGCCCUAUACAGGGGGAGUAACAGCUGGAAACGGUUGCUAAUACCGCAUAAGCGCACAGAAUCGCAUGAUUCAGUGUGAAAAGCCCUGGCAGUAUAGGAUGGUCCCGCGUCUGAUUAGCUGGUUGGUGAGGUAACGGCUCACCAAGGUGACGAUCAGUAGCCGGCUUGAGAGAGUGAACGGCCACAUUGGGACUGAGACACGGCCCAA
rnacentral:rRNA from 1 species